rnacentral:snRNA from 1 species
AAGUGUUAUAGCUCUUUCAGAAUUUGUCAAGCAAAUUUUCUGUUUUUCACCUGGGAAAAUUCCA